UUUCUACUCCCUCUGUCCCAAAAUUCAUGUCUUAAAUUUGUCUAAAUACGGAUGUAUCUAGUUACAUUUUAGUGUUAGAUACAUCCGUAUCUAAACAAAUGUAAGACACGAAUUUUGGGACGAAGGGAGUACUAC
rfam:Triticum aestivum genome assembly, contig: Triticum_aestivum_CS42_TGACv1_scaffold_288809_4AL